rnacentral:rRNA from 1 species
GAUGAACGCUGGCGGCGUGCCUAAUACAUGCAAGUCGAGCGAACAGACGAGGAGCUUGCUCCUCUGACGUUAGCGGCGGACGGGUGAGUAACACGUGGAUAACCUACCUAUAAGACUGGGAUAACUUCGGGAAACCGGAGCUACUACCGGAUAAUAUAUUGAACCGCAUGGUUCAAUAGUGAAUGACGGUUUUGCUGUCACUUAUAGAUGGAUCCGCGCCGCAUUAGCUAGUUGGUAAGGUAACGGCUUACCAAGGCAACGAUGCGUAGCCGACCUGAGAGGGUGAUCGGCCACACUGGAACUGAGACACGGUCCAGACUCCUACGGGAGGCAGCAGUAGGGAAUCUUCCACAAUGGGCGAAAGCCUGACGGAGCAACGCCGCGUGAGUGAUGAAGGUCUUCGGAUCGUAAAACUCUGUUAUUAGGGAAGAACAAAUGUGUAAGUAACUAUGCACGUCUUGACGGUACCUAAUCAGAAAGCCACGGCUGACUACGUG